UUAUGAUUUCAUGUCAUUCAUAUUCUUUUUCAAUAGAAGAACGAAAAAUCAGAUUUUUCCUCUUAAUUUUUAGUAUUUUUAAUUGAAUUUGAAUUUUUCAUUAGGAAAAGUUAAAAAUCAGGAGAAAAAAUCUGAUUUGUCAUUCUCUUAUUAGAAAUGAAUAAAAAUGACGUGGAAUCACAGUUUUAUACGAUCCAUACUCUUUGACCGACAUACAUAUGCAUAUAUAUUGGCAAGCUAAUAUUCGUUUUACAUGUUUUUUUCUGGUUACUGAUUAGUAUUUCUUGGUCCAUGACAGUGUGUUGGCAGCUCAACUUGCCGGCAAUACAUAGUCUGCUGGCGUAUUGACACAGUUUGUCAGGUGCGGAGUUAGCGAUGACUGAGCUAGCCGAAGUGCGUCGUUACAUGGAGAGCAGUGGCACGUAUCUAGGAAAAGUUGACAGCAUGUUUAAGUUUAUUCCAUUUUUAGAACGUCUUGGAAAGUAUGGAUUGAAGGCUCCAAAUGAAUUCAGAUAAAACCUCUUUCUCUUAACCUAUCCAAGUGGUUAGUCUUUCCUUUUAAUAGGUGAUAAAAUUCUAAGUAUGUCGCAACGCGUUCAGCCUUUUAAGUUUGUCGCAACGCGUUCAGCCUUUACUACCUGUCACCUUUAAUUUUUCUCAUGCCAAGUUUUUGUUCGUUAUUAACUUUUCUCUACUAUUAACCCACAUGUUGUGUAAACUUUGGAUAUCCUAUAAUCCUUAUAACCUUUUACUCUUCAUUUUCCUUUUGGUGGAUUUAUAAUUAGCAGUGGAAUAAAAAAUGUAUAAUAAUUUCUUUAGCACUCCAACUUUAUUAACAAAAGUUAUUUUAAAAAGUUAUUUUAGCUAUUCAUUUAUUUUUUUUUGCCUCUUCUAACUCUCCAUUUAAAAUUUCAAAUCACCUUAAAAUGGAUGAAAAAUUUAACAUUUGUUAAUUUUGCUAACAUAACAUACACUUAAAUUAUCACGUAAGAGUUUAAUUAAUUUUUUAGAAUUUUAAAAAUAUUAAAAAAAUAUUUUAUAUAAUUUUUAUAAUUUUUUAACAUUUUUAAUGAUUUUAAUUUUUAAAAUUAUUUUUUUAAUUUUAAAAAAUUUAUUAAAUAUUGAUGUGUCAUCCACAUGGCAACCGUGUAUGCAACAUUAGCAAAGUUAAAAAACGUUAAUUUUUUAAUUUAUUUUGGAGUAAUUUGGCAAAAAGAGCAAAUUUAAGGGCUAAAAAAAUAAAUUAAAUGAAAGAUUAAAAUGAUUUUUUUUAUAAAUUUGGAGAGUAAAAAAAUAUGCAUAAUCCAAUAAAAUCUAUUAGUUAUGUGUUUUUCUUUUUAAAAUUUUUUUAAUAUAAUUAAAAUACACGAGACAACAUUACAAUUUUGGUUAUGAAUUUUUUUUAUUCCACUGCAUAAAAUAUUAAUCUAAAUAUUAAUCCUUAGAUUAUGUGACAUUCAUGAUGUGAGUAAAAGAAAUAAAAAUAAUAUAAAACAAAGAUAUUGAAUUAACUUUUACAAUGCUUUGAAUCAAAGUUAUAUAGUCAAAGUGGUGCCUAAGAUAGCAGGCACUUCUUAAAGCACUAAAUGUAAAACAGAAAACACACAAGGUACAAAAAGUUAUUUAUGCAGUUUGGUUUUCUUACGUUUGCAUAGUCUCGUUCAGUGAAAAAUAUUCACUCUCUUUAAUAAUUACACAAAGUGAACCUACUCAAUCACACCUCAUGAUAAUUUCCCUCACCUUUGUACUUUUGAAGAAUUGAUAGUCUCACCACUAAAUUCACCCAUUGUGAAUUUAGCAAGUAAAACGACAACACAAGGUUUUACUAUCAAAAUGAUACUCUUAUGAUAAUAUUAUCACAAGAACAGGUUAAGUGCUUAACUCUCAGUACAUCCACCUAGGCAAGUCUAUCAAAUACAUAAAAUUUAAUUUUGAGACUUACUUACAAAUGAAGAUUUAAUUCAAUCCCAAUCCCAGUAAAACAAUAAUACAAUAGAAUAAUACAUUAUAAUAGCUAGGGGUGAGCAAAAUUCGAUUCGAUUCGAAAAAUAGAAAAAAAAUUUGAAUUUCGAAUUAUUUGAAUUGAGUUAAUCGAAUUAAUCGAAUCAAAUCAAUUUUUUUUUCAAAUUUCGAGUUCGAGUCGAGUUGAAUUCUCGAAUUUGAAUAACUCGAAUAAUUAGAAUAAACCAAAUAUAAACUAUAUUUUUAAUUUUUUUAAAUUUAAGCUUUUACUAAUUACUAAACCCAAUUACCCCUAAGCCCAAAUAUUUUAUUUUAUCCCAUUUUUUCCCCACCCCAACCCCAAGCCCGUUUGCCCAAAAAUUUAUUUUCCCAAAACCCAAUUCCUCCCCCAAGUCAAUUCAAACCCCCAUGCCAUGCCCCAGCAGCCAAUUCCAAUUAUUAUUUUUAUUCUUUUCAAACUCCUCUCCAUUUCCACAAAACCUUAAACUCUGUUUUUCUCAAAAAAACCCUAAAAUUAAAAUCCUUCUUCUUCUUCUAGUUCAUUCAAACCUUCAAAUUAAAAACUUUUACUUAUAUUUUUUUAUUAUAAUCUUGUUGUAUUGAUUUUGUUGUUUUUUGGGACUAAUGUUGUUUAUUUGGGUUGAUGUUGUGUUGUUUGUAUUUAUUCACUUAUUUAUUUUAAUUUUUUGUUGUAUGAUCAUGUCUAAAAACUUUAAAGAAUUUUUUUUUGAAAAAUUACAUAAAAAUAAAUAAUGCUAGAGUCAUUUUUUUUAAAACUUAACUCGAACAAAUAUAUUCAAUUCGAUUCGGUUUGAAUUCCAUCUCACUCGACUCGAUUUGAGAAAAUUUCAAAUAAAGUUAGGAUGAUAAAAUAAGAUUCGAAAACUCGAUUAACUCGAAAAUUUUUGAUUUGAUUCGAUUCGAUUCAAUACGAUCGAAUGCUCACCCCUAAUAAUAGCAUAAAGAAAAUAUAGAAUCUUGGCAACUCAUCCAAUAGAAUCACGAUCCAAUCCAAAGUUUAUGAUCCAAUGGAUUGUCUUGGGUAAGUUCGAAUCAAUCCAAUCACUAAUAUUAUAUUCCUAAAGUAAUAUGAGUGUUCCAUAAUUGACUAGAUAUCAACCAUACAAUUAGUAUAGCACAAAUCAUUGAUUCAAUAAAUUUGGCAACAUCUUAAAUAUGGAAAUUGUCUUCCACAAAUUUGGUAGGUAGGGGAGUGAGUACUCCCUUUGACACCACAUUGCCAAUUUCAUAUUUUUCAACAAUCUCUCCCUUUGGCAAUUGGUUGAACAAAACACAAAAUGCAGGAAACUUGAAUCAUCAAUCAACUAUAGCUCCCCCUUAGUAUAUUUUCCCAUUAGCUUAACUCAACUCAACUUCGGAAUAAUUAAGUAAUUAAUCAUCAAUGUCAGAGCAAUUUUACAUUUACAACUAACCAAAAAUAAUUAUAACUAAGCAAGUUAAGAAAACAAUGUAAAAAAGCAUCAAAGAAACGAAAUCCACAGAAGAAAACCUUUUAAAUUCAUCACCAUCAAAACAAUAUAAAAGUAGUAACAUAAAAUCAUCCAAAAAUUGUUAAAAAAUAAAGAAGUUCAAAACAUAAACCGAUAUUUUCCUUCUCCCAUUUACUCCAAUACUUCUCCCCCUUUUUGUUCUACAAGAUUGUCAACCAUCAGAAGCUUGCACUACAGCAAAUUAAGUUUUUAGCGGUGUUUUAAGUGGCUUUUGGAUCGAAAACAUCGCAAAGGUCAAACUUUUAACGAUGAUUGUAUUGAAAAACACCAGAAAUAUAUACUAUUAGUGGCGUUAACCAAAGAAUGCCGCAAUAAGUUGUUAUAUAGUGGUGUUUGUGGAAAUAGCGCCGCAAAUAGUAUAUAUUUAGCAGCAUUUUAUGCUACGUGCCAUAAAGGUACACCGAAUGUGAGCAGCGUUAGCGGCGUUUUUCCAUAAACGCUGCAAAAGGUAAAGCAAUAGUGGCAAUUUUACAAAAAGCCACAAAAGGUUAAAAACGAUAGCAACAUUUUUUCUCAUAAACGCCGCUAUUGGCCCAUAAAUGCUGCAAAUAUUUUUUAACUUUUUAUUGAAACGAUGCUGCUUUGACAGUUGGCCCCUAACCCUUAUUCCCCCCAAAUCAUUUUCCCCACUUCCCUAAUUUAAUUUUUUGUUUCCCAUACAUUUGCUGCUGGUCGUCAGUUCGAUUAUCCAUUUGCUGCACCGCUGUCGAUAGUGCAUUUGUCAUCGAUCUCUAUCUCAUUCGUCGGCAUUGCUCCGUCCAUAGCAAAAGGAUUUUCAAUCCAAACUUGCUUAAAAAGAAAGUGCAUUAUACUUUUCUACAUUUAUUUAUAGGAGAAAAUUCCCUUCAGAAAAUGUUUGGAUUCUAGUUCUCAUGGCAUUCAUUUUUUAUGCAGCUAAAUGAUAAGGAUCUUGCAAAAGAGUUGUAUAAGAAGUAUAGUGCGGUAGUUGAUACUUUUCUCUUCAUUCUCUUCAGAUUCCUAAUUCUAUGUUUCAGAUUGGUCAGAAUGCUUAUUAUCUGUUCUAUCAUAUUUUAACAGGUCCAUAGGCGAAAAAUACGUGCUUGGCAAAUGAUAUGUGUUUUGUCACAAUUUGUUGAUGAUGAUAUAGUUGGAGAAGUCAGACAGUGCUUGCAAAUAGCUCUCUAUGUAAGUAACUGUUGCUUCUUUUAAAAAAUUUGAUAGUUCUUUCUUAACUUAUUAUAGUUCGCUUAAGUUUCAUCAUAUGGUAAGUUUGAUAAGUUUUUUAGGAGAGAAUAACAAGUAAUUUUUUGGUUUUGAUAGAAAUUUCAUGAAAGGCUAUCUUAAAUAUUUUUCCUUUUCCUAAAUUACUGCUCUGUGUUCAAGUAUGUAAUGUUUAGUUUACUUUAUACUUCCAGAACACUAAGGGUCCGUUUGUGUGGAAGUAAAACAUUUUUUGAAAAAGGUUUGCAGCCUUUUCCAGUGUUUUUUUGGCUGAAAAUAUUUUCUUAAGGUAAAAUCAAUUACAAAACACGUGAAAAGAAGCCCUUAGUUUUGGAAAAUGUCUUACCCUUUCUAAUUCGACAAGACAUUUUCAAGAAAAUUAGAAGCCAACACCGAUCUUCCCUUUCCCUUUACCUUCCCCUUCCCUUUCCCCUAUCCUUGACACCUGAUCUUCUGCUUGCCGUCAGCCAACACCAAUUCUCGACACUAGACACUGGCGUUCAUCAAAGCUUUUCCCCAUCUUCACCUUUUGUUGUCAAAAUCUGCACUAGCGUUCAUCUUCCUCUCUCGAAGGUAAGAACGAAAAAAAAUUAAAAGCUGAAGUUCUACUCUUUUUUACAAACAAACUGGACCAUAAAACAAAAAUCCUCUAGUUCUGGUAAUGAAACAAUUGUUCACAAUUUGAUUUCUACAUUUUAAUUUUGUUUUUGCUUCAGUUUCAGCUCUUCCUUCAUCAUAUAUCCAACAGAUUCCUUGAGAAUGAAUUUUCUUCAUAUUAACUUAAAAAAGAGGAAAUCCCAAGCAGAAUGCACUAUACUCUUCAUUAUUGAUCUUAAAUUAUCGUUUUAAAUUAUUUAUGCCUAUUUUACUUUGUUUCACCUUUCUUCUUUCUCCUAUUUCUGUUUUAGCAAGUUGAUUUCUUUCUACUAUCAACUCCAUAAAAUGAAAACAAUGUCUGUUAUUUAAUACAUGAAAGAACAAUGUUAGUUGUACAACCCAAAUUCUGCACGGGCCCAAUAAAAUAAAAUAAACCCAACUACCUACCCAAAACCAAAACCCAUUAACCUAAACAAAUCAAACCCAAACCCAAUUUCAGCCUAACCCUAGCCCACUACUUAUCAGAAAACAAAAAAAGAAAAAAAACCCUAGCCUAGCUAGCCAUCGCCCCUAUGGCCGACUAACUUUUGUCACUACCUGCAGCACCACCUACUCCACUGCCACAGUCGCAUCACCACUGCCUACGCCACUUUCACCUGCAAAAUUAAAUGAAGAAGAGACAGAAAAUAAUAAAAAAACAUGUAAAAUGGCUUUAAAAAGCCAUGCCAAAUAACAUUUGUGAGAUUCGGCAAUCUUGAUCAAUACAAAGAGCACUAGAUUUUAAAACAAAACAAUAUCCAAAUACGAAAGAAACACAGCAAUAAAGCAGAUCGAAAACAAAUUCAUCGUGAAAAAGGUCGUGAUUUUUUUAGUUUACUUUUCCCUUUAUUUUUUCUUUUGAAUAUAUAUACAUAUUUCCUUUAUUUUUUUUCUUUUAAAAAAAACAGCAUAUAUAUUUAUAUAAAUAUAAAAAAACAAAAAAAAAAACCUUUUUUGGAAUUCCGGCCACCGCGUACGGUGGUCGGCGAUGGUGGUCGACGGC
rnacentral:lncRNA from 1 species